GGGGGAAUAUUGCACAAUGGGGGAAACCCUGAUGCAGCAACGCCGCGUGAAGGAAGAAGGUUUUCGGAUCGUAAACUUCUAUCAACAGGGACGAAACAAAUGACGGUACCUGAAUAAGAAGCCCCGGCUAACUACGUGCCAGCAGCCGCGGUAAUACGUAGGGGGCAAGCGUUAUCCGGAAUUACUGGGUGUAAAGGGAGCGUAGGCGGCACGUCAAGCCAGAUGUGAAAGCCCGGGGCUUAACCCCGUGGAUUGCAUUUGGAACUGGCGAGCUAGAGUACAGGAGAGGAAAGCGGAAUUCCUAGUGUAGCGGUGAAAUGCGUAGAUAUUAGGAAGAACACCAGUGGCGAAGGCGGCUUUCUGGACUGAAACUGACGCUGAGGCUCGAAAGCGUGGGGAGCAAACAGGAUUAGAUACCC
rnacentral:rRNA from 1 species